rnacentral:rRNA from 1 species
UGGCGAACGGGUGAGUAACACGUGGGUGAUCUGCCCUGCACUCUGGGAUAAGCCUGGGAAACUGGGUCUAAUACCGGAUAGGACCAUGCUUUAGUGUGUGUGGUGGAAAGUUUUUUAGGUGUAGGAUGAGCCCGCGGCCUAUCAGCUUGUUGGUGGGGUAAUGGCCUACCAAGGCGGCGACGGGUAGCCGGACUGAGAGGUUGGUCGGCCACAUUGGGACUGAGAUACGGCCCAG